rfam:Byssochlamys spectabilis No. 5 DNA, contig: PVAR5_00022_2.
GGGCUUGUAGUGUAGGGGUUAUCGCGCCCGUUUUGCAUACGGGAGGUCCCGGGUUCAAUUCCCGGCGAGUCCA